GAAUAACAAAUUUGUUCUUUUGCUGGUUCUUAUUGCUGUCUCGCAGCUCGUGAGUGCAGACGUUCAAUGGUAUUCAGCCAUUUCGAGGCGUCGUAGGGGAAAUACUCGGCGUCGCCAAAAUAUAUAUGAACAAAUGAAAAUUGAAGCUGCUGCCCUGGAAGAUAUUGCUGAUAUGAACGAUGUCUUACAGUAAAUAUAGACACAGAGACCACACGGUUUUGUUGUUCUUGAAAUAAAUAUAAGAAUAAAUGUA